rnacentral:rRNA from 1 species
AGAUUGAACGCUGGCGGCAGGCCUAACACAUGCAAGUCGAGCGGUAGAGAGGUGCUUGCAUCUCUUGAGAGCGGCGGACGGGUGAGUAAUGCCUAGGAAUCUGCCUAGUGGUGGGGGAUAACGUUCGGAAACGGACGCUAAUACCGCAUACGUCCUACGGGAGAAAGCGGGGGACCUUCGGGCCUCGCGCCAUUAGAUGAGCCUAGGUCGGAUUAGCUAGUUGGUGAGGUAAUGGCUCACCAAGGCGACGAUCCGUAACUGGUCUGAGAGGAUGAUCAGUCACACUGGAACUGAGACACGGUCCAGACCUCCGUAACGGGACGGCGAGACAGGUA